rnacentral:rRNA from 1 species
UUAAAGAGUAAGGGUGCUCAGCGCCCGACCUCCAACCCUUUGUUGUUAAAACUACCUUGUUGCUUUGGCGGGACCGCUCGGUCUCGAGCCGCUGGGGAUUCGUCCCAG